rnacentral:misc_RNA from 1 species
AGGAGAAUCAUCUCUUUCUACAAGGAUCUUAUUGUUAUGUGUCAUAAACCUUGAAUGGGACCUACAACAGUCUGAUGUUAAAAAUGCUUUUUUUCAUGAAGAUUUGGAAGAGGAAGUACACAAGAAGAUUCCUCCAGGAUUUGAGGAUGAAAAGACUAAAGGAAAAGCAUGUAGAUUGAACAAGGCAUUACAUGGCUUGAAGCAUUCACCAAGAGCAUGGCUUGAUAGGUUUAGUAAAGCCAUGAUUUUCUUUGGGAACUAUCAAAGCAAUGCUAAUCACACUCUAUUUAUGAAACAUCAUAGAGGAAAGAUCACACUGCUUAUUGUCUAUGUUGAUGAUAUAG